rnacentral:rRNA from 1 species
GACGAACGCUGGCGGCGUGCCUAAUACAUGCAAGUAGAACGCUGAGGAGAGGAGCUUGCUCGUCGUGGGUGAGGCGCGCACGGGUGAGUAACGCGUAGGUAACCUGCCUUGUAGCGGGGGAUAACUAGGGGAAACGAGCGCUAAUACCGCAUGACAAUCGAUGACACAUGUCGUGUAUUUGAGAUGGGCCAUUGCUCCACUACAAGGUGGACCUGCGUUGUUUUAGCUAGUAGGUGGGGUAAUGGCGCACCUAGGCGAAGUUACAUAGCCGCCCUGAGAGGGUGGUCGGCCAGCCUGGGACUGUGACACGGCACAGACGCCUACGGGAGGCAGCCGUAGGGCAUCUUCGGGCAUGGGGGCAAAACUGAGCGAGCAACGCCGCGGGAGUGAAGAAGGGUUUCGGAUCGUAAAGGUCGGUUGUAAGGUAAGAAAGGGUGUGAGAGUGGGAAGUUCACAGUGUGACGGUAGCUUAUCAGAAAGGGACGGCUAACUACGUG